AUGGCUGCACAAAACACAAUCUUCAUCAUCACACAAGACACAACAACAACAAUGAACAACAUCAUCAUGCUCAUCUGCACUCUCUGUAUAUGUAUACAAGGUUUCAGGGGACAAGUGACUGUGACUCAGACUCCCUCUGUAAAAAUGAUUCAGAUUGAUGAAUCAGUCACUAUAAACUGUAAAACAAACACAGUAGUGCAUAAUGGCUGUUCAGACGGUCACUGUAAGAACUGUUUCUCCUGGUACCUGCAGAAACCUGGAGAAUCUCCUAAACUUUUAGUGUACUUCAUUAAAAUCCUCCAGUCAGGAACUCCAUCUAGAUUCAGUGGAAAUGGAGCUGAUCAUGGAACUGAUUUCACUCUGACCCUCAGUGGAGUCCAGACUGAAGAUACAGGAGAUUAUUACUGUCAGAGUGUACACUAUAUCAGUGAUAGCUGGGUGUUCACACAGUGUUAAAGAGUCGUACAAAAACCUCCGUCAGUCAGAGUCACAGUGACUGCACUGAUACAGCUGAGAG